rnacentral:rRNA from 1 species
GCCCCAUAGUCUGGGGAUACCACUUGGGAAACAGGUGCUAAUACCCGGAUAAGAAAGCAGAUCGCAUGAUCAGCUUUUAAAGGCGGGCGUAAAGCUGUCGCUAUGGGGAUGGGCCCCCGCGGUGCAUUAGCUAGUUGUAAGGUAAGGCUUACAGGGCGAUGAUGCAUAGCCGAGUUGAGAGACUGAUCGGCCACAUUGGGACUGAGACACGGCCCAAAACUCUACGGGGAGGCAGCAGUAGGAAUCUUCCACAAUGGACGCAAGUCUGAUGGAGCAACGCCGCGUGAGUGAAGAAGGUUUUCGGAUCGUAAAAGCUCUGUUGUUGGUGAAGAAGGAUAGAGGUAGUAACUGGCCUUUAUUUGACGGUAAUCAACCAGAAAGUCACGGCUAACUACGUGCCAGCAGCCGCGGUAAU